rnacentral:rRNA from 1 species
AACGAACGCUGGCGGCAGGCCUAACACAUGCAAGUCGAACGAGAAGCCACCUUCGGGUGGUGGACAGUGGCAGACGGGUGAGUAACGCGUGGGAACGUGCCUUUCGGUUCGGGAUAACCCAGGGAAACUUGGGCUAAUACCGGAUACGCCCUCCGGGGGAAAGAUUCAUCGCCGAAAGAUCGGCCCGCGUCGGAUUAGCUAGUUGGUAGGGUAAUGGCCUACCAAGGCGACGAUCCGUAGCUGGUCUGAGAGGAUGACCAGCCACACUGGGACUGAGACACGGCCCAGACUCCUACGGGAGGCAGCAGUGGGGAAUAUUGGACAAUGGGCGAAAGCCUGAUCCAGCCAUGCCGCGUGGGUGAAGAAGGCCUUAGGGUUGUAAACCCCUUUCAGCGGGGAAGAUAAUGACGGUACCGAUAGAGAAAGCUCCGGCUAACUCUGUGCCAGCAGCCGCCGUAAAAC